rnacentral:rRNA from 1 species
UACGGAGGGUGCGAGCGUUGUCCGGAAUCAUUGGGCGUAAAGGGCACGUAGGUGGCGGGACAGGCGUGCGGUGAAAGCUCGGGGCUCAACCCCGAGUCGGCCGUGCGAACUGUUUUGCUUGAGCACUGUAGAGGCAGGCGGAAUUCCGGGUGUAGCGGUGGAAUGCGUAGAGAUCCGGAAGAACACCGGUGGCGAAGGCGGCCUGCUGGGCAGUAGCUGACACUGAGGCGCGACAGCGUGGGGAGCAAACAGG